AUUCGAGGGGGUCCCGUUGAAC
rnacentral:sRNA from 1 species